UGCUAGGUGGUUGGGAAUUUAAUGCAACUCCUUCAAUGCUAGCAUCACCUGCCAUGUUUCGUGGUCUCUUAUGUUGGCCCCUACCUCCUUUAAAGCUCGGUUCCAUUUCUCUCUCUGUUCUGUACAUCAACUACACAUCCCAAUAUGUCCACCCCCCAAGCCAUGAUUCUUCUCCAUUCAUACUUGGCUGUCUUUCCCAUCCGCAACCAUACAACGUUCUUUGCAAUUGAUGAAUCACCUCGCGGAGACGAACAUGAGAGGAGCACCUCAGUUCUGUUCGAGUUUGAUGUCGAGUCCAACCGACACGUGAGCUGAGUCCCUUGUUCGGUUUUUCAACCCUUCUCUGCGUAUAUUAUUCACGCAUUUUAUUCCCUUGAUUCCUUCUUUUUUGUAGAUGAACACUUGAAUGCAUUGGUGCGAAUAAAUGUUGAGGAAACUUCAGUGAUGACAA